CUUACUGGAAUGGAUUUUAGGGUUCAUGGUUUGAUGGGUUUAACCAACCAAAUAGUCUUACGUUAUGUUCCACAAUUGCCCCUGUUACAGGCACGAUGCUCUCAACUAGUCGGCCAUCAAAUCUUUUGAAUACAUCAACUGGUAUGAUGAUGAUGUAAUACCUUUUCUUAUUUUGCUCGCUAAAAGACAUAACUGUGAUGAAAUUUGGGCACACAAUGCACUCAGAAUGCUAUCACGAGAUGAUUAAGCGUAAUAAAUACUCUUGUCCCAUAUGCUCAAAAUCAGUAAUGGAUAUGUCUAUGAUGUGGAGAGACUAGAUGAAGAGAUUGAAGCUACUGUGAUGCCUGAAAAUUACAGACAAAAGAAGGUUUGGAUCUUAUGUAAUGAGUGCAAUGACACUUCAGAGUUUCUUGAAUUUUGAAUCUUGAAGAGAUUGAAACUGUUAAGUUUUAAUGUAGUUCUUUCUCCACUUCACUUGUGUUGUGUGUGGAUUGAUUGAUUUGGGGAACAGAGAGGCUUCCAAAUAUGAAGAAAGCUCCUACUUGAGGAUACUUUUGGACAGCAGAGAUGCGUCAAGGUUUUGAAGUUUUUGAUGGAAAAGAAUAGUGUUAAUGCUAUUCAUAGAAAAGUAUGUUGGUAUUUUAGGAAAUUUGGCUAAUAAUUUAGUUAAUUAUAUAAAAAAUGUUGAAAUGUUACAUUUGUCUAC